CACAAUAUCUCUGAGGUAAGUCUAUAUGUGCAUUUUUGUAGGUUAGCACUUGGAAUUAAGCAGAUGCCUUGUACCCCCAAAAGUCUGCUCCUGUGACCCGGCCUCUCCAGAGACAUGCCCUGUUUCUGGUCCCUAGCUACCCUAACCCGCGCUGCCCACAAAUGUGCAGACUGCACUCUCUCAGCUGGCCUUCGGUUGUUGGCAUCCUCCAGGCCUAUUGGGCUCAGGCUGGUCUCCGAAACCUGCAUAGCCUCCAGGAUGGAAAGUGCCCACUCCUCAAAAAUCUUUCUGCGGUAGUAGCUUUAAACCAAUGACGAGCAGUCUGCAUUUGGAUUGACUGCCUGAUGUGGUCCUGGUCUUAGUCAGCCAUCAACGCUCCCAGGUGUCUAUUCUUGGACGGUACCCAACAGUUCUGGCUGUUCCAUGCUGGCAGGUUCGUGCACUUUCCUCCACCUCUGCCUUCAGGAGAAAUAUGCACAUUUGUGUAAAAUAAGGCUUGGAAUUAGACAGAUGCCAGGUACUAGAAAAAAGACUGCUUCUGUGAUCUGGCCUCACCCUGUUCCAGGUUCCUGGCCACGCUGACUUGUGUGACAUGCACAUGGGCAGUGCGUCCCCUGUCAUCCAUCCUUGGGUAGCCAGAACCCUCUAGGCCUGUGGAGCUAGGGCCUACACUUAACCAACUGCACAUCUUCAGGAAUGGAGGGAGACCUCCCCCUGAAAACCAUUCUGAGACAACCACUGAAAUGGGUGACUGGGGACCCCAUGUGGACCUACUGUCUGCUGGAGUCCCAGGCUUCGGGCGGCAAUCAAGGCUUCCAGGUGUCUCUUCUUGGAGACCACACAUUCCAUCCCUGGCAAGACAACCCAGAUUACUCAGGCUCUGCCAUCAGUGGGAAUAGGCACAUUUGUGUAGAUUAUGGCUUGGAUUAGGUAGAUGCUUUAUAACCCCCAGGGCCUACUCCAGUGACCUGGCCUCUCCAGAUGCCUUGCCCUGUUUAGGUCCUUGGCCACCCUGACCCAUCUCACCUGUGCAUGCUUACUUUGUUUGCAUGCACUUUUUUGCACUCUUGGGCAGACUCGGCACUGAAGCCCGUGGAACUCUGGCCAGGCGCCAACCACCUGCAUAGCCUCUGGUGUAGUGGGAGCCCACCUCCUGAAAAUCACUCUGAGAUGGCAACUGGAAAUGGCUAACAGUGUUUCUAUGGAUUUGCUUCCUUACUUGAGGCUUCAAUGGAGACUAGUGCUUCCAGGUGUUUCCUAAUGGAGGCUACCCUGCCCUGCCUGCCUGGCUCCUUCCUGGCAAGGAAGUUGAAAAACUUCCAGCUCUGCCUUGGAGGGGGAGAAUUGUAUACAAUGGUAGGUAGGCCUUGCAAUUAGGCUAAAGUUUUUUCUACCCCCAAAGAACCUGUGGGGGUUCUCCUCUCAGUUCUCAGUUCUCCUGUGUGAGAACCUCUCCCAACCCUUUUCCAGGACCCUGGCCACAGGCACAUGUGAGUCUGGCACAUACACAGCACACGCACUGACAGCUGCCCUUGGGCAGAAAGGCCCUCCAGGCCUUUGGAGCUUGGGCCCAUCCCUUACUACCUGCAUUGCAAAAAGUGGAGGAAGCCCACCCUCCACCCCCCAAAAUCACUCUAAGGUGUUAGCUGAAAUGGGAGACUGCCAGUCUCCUUGUGGACUGCUUGCCAGAUGUGGUCCUGGGCUUGUGCUGUAGUCGGGCUCCCAGGUGUCUCUCUUUGGAGGAUACGUUGGUGAGCCAAACCAAUGUAGACCUUGCAAAGCAGUCCAGAUUCACUCAGCUCUGCCUUCAGGUGAAUAUGUGCAUUUGUGUACCAGAAGGCUUGGGAUUAGGCAGAUCAGUUACCUCCAAUAGUCCCCUCCCCUGCCUGGGCCUCACCUGACAUUGACCUGUUCCUGGCUACUCUGAUCCGUGAAGAUAUCCUUCAAUAAGAGGCACUUAGGGUUCUUGAUUGCUGCAGAAGCCUCCAACCCCAUCAUGCAGCCAGGCCAUGUGGGCUGACUGUAGCCAGUUUAAAGCUGCUUCCUCAGAAAGAUUUUUGGUGGUGAGCUACAUCCACCCAAAAUGCUAUGUAGGUGAUUGGGGACUUGGCGUGAAAUCCUAGGCCUGUUGGGCACUGGCUGCCUGGGCAGGCUGACAGGUGCGUACUGCACAUGCAUGGGCCGUGCAGGUAGCCAGGGACAGGUGUAUGCGGAAGCCAGAUAACAGGUGCAGGCUAUAGGGGCUAUAACAUAUCUCCCUAAUUCCAGGCUCUAACAUAGACAAAUCUGCCUGUUCAACUGGGGGUAGAACUGGAGGAAUCUAGAUGACCUUACCAGGGUGGGGAUGCACGGGAUGGUCAGGUACACCCAAAUGUGUACUGACAGUCCUCAAUGUAAAAUGGAGCCUCAGAAAUACUUUCAGCUGGUGGGCUCCCUACACCCUGAGACCACUCAGGCGGUUGAUGUCCUACCAGAGCUCCAUGGACCUGGAGUGCCCCUGCAAAUGCUAACAGUGUGCAGACGGCACAUUCAUCGUCCGUGCAGGUCAGGGUGGCCAGGACGAUAUCCUGAAGCGCCUGUUCACAGGGAGAAGCAUUGGGGGUUCCUGACAUCUGCCUAAUUCAAAGCAUUCACCUACACAAAUGCUCAUAUUCCACCUGAGGGCAGAGCUGGAGGAAUUUGGACAGACCUGCCAAAGUGGGUCGGCCCAGGAUAGUUAGGGUACUCUCUAAGAAGAAACACCUGGGAGCCUUGGAUCCCUGGAUUCAGGUAACACCUGGAGAAGCCUAGGAUUACAUCGGGCAAUCCAUUCCAAAUGGGGACUAUCUGUUGCCAAUUAAAUCUGCAGCCUCAGAAGAUUUAUAAGGAGUGUGCACUCUCCACAUUGGAGCUUGUGAAGGUUUUGGAGAAAGGCCUAAGCCCAACAGACCUAGGGGGCCUGGGCACCCAAAGGCCAGCUGACAAAGUACAGACUGCAUGUUUAUACGUAGCACGGGGCAGGGGAGACAGGGACAUAAAACAUGACAGCUGUAGGGAGAGGCUGGGUCCCAGGAGCAGGUUACUGGGGGUACUUGCUUCUAAUUCCAAGUGCUAAUUUUCACAAAUGUUCAUGUUUCCCCUGAAGGCAGAGCUGGAGGAAUCUGGACUGCUUUGCUAGGGUGAGUCCACACAAGAUGGUUGGUGUAUACUCCGAGAAGAGAUAUCUGGGAGACUUGCUUGAUGGGGAACCCCAGGACCCCACCAGGCAGCCAGUCCACAUGGAGACCGAUUGUCACCAGUUUAAAUCUACUGCCUCAGAAAGAUUUUUCUAGUGUGGGCUCCCUCCACCCCAAGGCAAUGCAGGUGGUUGGGGGUCCUCCUGGAGCACCAGGGGCCUGGAGUGCCCCCUUCAGCCAAGGGCCAGCUGAGGAGGUACAGAUUGUACAUAUGUAGGCUGUGCAGGUCCAAGUAGCCAGGGGCUUGUAAUAGGGCAACUGUAAGGAGAAGCUGGGUAACAGGAGCAGGCUAGUUGGGGUACUUGCUUAAUUACUGCUUAAUUCCAAGUCUUACUUUAAAGAAAUGAGCAUAUUCCCCCUAAAGGCAGAGCGGGAGGAAAGUGGGCUGCCUUGCUAGAAUGGGGCCAGGAUGACUGACCAGGAUCUCCUCUAAUAAGAGGUACCUGAAAGCCUUGAUUGCUGGAGCAGCCAGGGGCCCCAUCUGACGCUGGUACUGACUGUUUAAAGCCAGUUUAAAGCUGUCACCUCAGAAUUUCAGGGGCGGGAUUCCUCUGCCCAGGAGGCUGUGCGGGUGGUUGGGACCAACCAACUCCACUGGCCUGGAGGGCACCAGCUGCCCUUGGUGGGCUGAUGAGGUGCCUACUCUGCAUGUGCAAGCUUUGCAGGUCAGAGACCAGUGAUAGGGCAAGUGUCUGGAGAGGCUCGGUCAUAAGAUCAAGCUGUUGGGGGUACGGGGAUCAGCUUAAUAAUUCCAAACCCUAACCUAUUCAAACAUGCAUACAUAUUCCACCCAAAGGUACAGCUGGAGGAGUCUGGACUGACUUGCCAAGAUGGGGCCUGGUGUGCUGCUGUGGUAUCCUCUGGUAAGAGAUAUCUGUAAGCCUUGAUUCCUGGUAAACCUAAGACCCCAUUGAGCAGCCCAUCCAAAAGGGUUCUGACUGUUGACAGUUUAAUUUUUUUUUAAUGUUUAUUUUUUUUUUUUGAAAGAGAGAGACAGUGUGAAUGGAGGAGGGGCAGAGAGAGGGAGAGACAGAAUCUGAAGCAGGCUCCAGGCUCAGAGCUGUCAGCACGGAGCCCGACGCAGGGCUCAAACCCACGAACCGUGAGAUUGUGACCUCAGCCAAAGCUGGAUGCUUAACUGACUGAGCCACCCUGGAGCCCUAUGACAGUUUAAAGCUGCCAUCGCACAAAGAUUUCUGGGAAGUUGGCUCCCUCCACUCUGAAGACUCUACUGGUUUGGGAGACUAACCCAAGCUCUGCCAGCCUGGAGGACCCUGACUGGCCUCAGCAGGUUGACAGGGUGUGUUACUACACAUGUGCAAGCAGCACAGAUUUGGGAAGCCAGGGACCUGGAACAGGGCAAGUUUCUGGAGAGACACAGGAUCGGUCUGUUGGGGUUUCAAGGCAUCUACCUCAUUGUAAGUUUAGCUUACACAAAUGUGCAUAUUCUCCCUUAGGGCAGAGCUAGAGGAAUCUGGACUGCCUUGCCAGGGUGGGCCUGCACAGGAUGGUCUGGGUACCCUCCAAUAAGAGACACCCAGGAGGCUUAAUUGAUGGAGAAGCCUGGGACACCAUCAGUCAGCCAUCCAAGUGGGUAUUAACAGUCCCCAGUUUAAAAAGAAGCCUCAAAAAUACUGCUUUGUGGGCUUUCUACACCCAAAGGCCAUUCAUUCUGGGGGUUGGGGUCCUGCUGAGCUGCAUGGCCUGGAGUGCCCCUUAUAGCCCAAUGCAUGCUUCUAGGGUGUGAUCUGAGCAUGCACAACCUCAGCAGGUCAGGGUUGCUAGGGUCCUGGAACAGGCCGGUUUGCAGGAGGGGGAUAUUGGCAGUACCUGGAAUCUGCCUAAUUCCAAGCCUUCACCUAUACAAAGGUGCAUAUUCCCCCCAAAGACAGAACUGGAAGAAUCUGUGCUGCCUUACCAGGGCUGCAUAGAGAAGAAUGGUCAAGGUACCCUUUAAUAACAGACACCUGGGAACUUUAAAGGGCUGGAGAAGCCAGGGACCAAUCAGGUAUUCAGUCCGAUGCUGCUGUCACCAGAUUAAAGCUGCAGCCUCAGAAAGACAUAAGGAAUGGGCACUCUCCACCCUGGAGGCUAGGCAGGUUUUGAAGGACAGCCUGAAUCCAACAGGCUCAGAGGGCUUCGGUAGGCAAAGGCCAUCUGACAGAGCGUACACUGUGCGUGCAUGGGUGGCACAGGUUGGGGGAGCCAGGGACCUGAACCAGGGCAGCUGCAGGAAGUGGCUGGGUCCCAGGAGCAGGCUCCUUGCAUCUAAUUCCAAGUGCUGAUUUUCACAAAUGUGCAUAUUCCCCCUGAAGGCAGGGCUGGAGGAACCUGGACUGCCUGACCAGGGUGAGUCCACACAGGGUGGUUGGGGUAUACUCCAAGAAGAGAGAUACUUGGGAGCCCUCAUUGCUGGGGAGCUCCAGGACCCCAUCAGGCAGCCAGUCCACAUGGCAACUGACUGUCACCGGUUUAAAUCUGCCUCAGAAAGGUUUUCCUGAUGUGGACUCCCUCCACCAUGAGGCCAGGCAGGUAGCUGUGGUGUUUCCAGAGCUUCAGGCACCUGGACUGCAGCUCUGUCGCCUAUGGCCAGCUGGACGAAAGUGGAUGGCCUUGUCAACGUGGGGCUGGGCCCACAGGCCAGGGUCUCCCCAGUAUGAGACACCUGGAAGACUUGUAAACUCAGGACCCCAUCAAGCAGCCAGUCCAAAUGGGGACUGUCACCAGUUAAAAGCUACCAUCUCAGAAUUUGGGGAGGUGGACACCCUCUGCGCUGAUGGCGAUACAAGUGGUUCAGACCCACCCUAGUUCUGCUGGCCUGGAAGGCCAUGGCUGCCCUGGUCAAGUUGAUGGGGUGUGUGUUACACAUUUUCAAGCUGCUCAGGUCAGGGUAGGCAGGAACCUAGAAGAGGGUGAGUAUCUGGAGAGGUUGGACCAUGGGAGUACAUGCUGAAUGUCCAAGGAAUCUGCCUAAUUCCAAGCACUAAUCUACACAAAUGCACAUAUUCCCCUUGGGGGCAGAGCUGGGGGGAUCUGGUCUGCCUGCCAGGGCAGGUGAGGCAGGAUGGUCUAGGAACCCUCCCCUAAGAGACUUCACGACCUCACAGUUUGUGGGUUCCAGCCCUACAUCAGGCACUGCACUGACAGUGUGGAAGCCUUCUUGGGAUUCUCUUUCCCUCUCUCCCUGCUUCCUCUCCCACUCACACUUUUUCUCUCUCUCUCAAAAAUAAAUAAACUAAAAAAAAAAAAGAAAAAAAGAUAUCUAGGAGCCUUGAUUGCUAGAGAAGCUCAAGAAAGCAUCAGACAGCCAGUCCAAAUGGGGACUGACUACUGCCAGUUUAAAUCUGUGGCCUUGGAAAAUUUUUCUCAGUAUGGGCUCCCCCCACCCUGAGGCUUUUCAGUUGAUUGGAUUCACCCAGAGCUCCAGGGGCCUGGAUGGCCACCUGCAGCCCAAGGCCAGCUAACAAGGUGUGAACUGGGUAUGGGUGGGACAAGCAGGUCAGGGUAGCCAGGGACCUGGAAUGGGCAAGUGUUGGGAGAGGCCAGGUCACAAGUGUGGGCCAUUGUAAGUCCAAGGCAUCUGUUUAAUCCAAGCCCUAACCUAUAAAAUGUACAUGUGGGGGCAAAUGGCAGAAUGCCCCCAAAAUGUGCCACUUCAGCAUAUUAUUUUGGAUUAAAGUCACUUAGGAAACAGCCAGUACAAGAAUAACACUCCCAACAGCUUUGUCUCUAGAAAGCGGGAAAUAAAUCUCCCAUGUGAAAAGUACCCUCCCUGUACCAGGAUGUAAAGAUAAAUUUUAAUCACCAGAUAAGGAAUUCAGAGAUAAGAAGGCUGUGUAAACAUCUUGUUACUUUUACUAAUUGACUACCCUAGCUCAAAUUCUGUUAGAAUUUCUUUAAAACUGAAGCUUGUGAACCUAAGUUUUCUUUGUCUCAUCAAUUUCUCACAGAUUUAUUGAUUCUUUGAUUAUAAAGCAUGAAAAUGCCUGCUUUGGUUAAUUCAUCGAGUCUCAAAUUUAAUAUCAGCCCUCCUUGUGCAUAUAAUUAAACUAUUUUUCUCCUGUUAAUCUGUCUCUUGUCAAUUUAAUUCUUAGAUCACCUAGAAGAACCUUGAAGGUAGAGAAUCGUUCUUCCUCCUCAACAGUUGGCAUAGCCAGCAGGAUAAACUUUAGCUGGCUGGACACUGCUGCGGCUGAGAGAUUAUGGGACAUCUGACAAAAGCUGGCACGAGGGAAGAAUCCCCGUCACCACAUCAGCCAACUGGAUCUCUGCCUGCCAGGUCUCGUGCAAGUGAGAGUGAUGUGAGUCCUUUUUCUCUCUCUUCCUAAAUCUAAGUUAGCAGGAGAAAACAUUUGUGGAACUAGUGCCUUGGCUCUAAUGGCUCUGGUGCAUUUGGUAGAGUUCUCUUGGCUUGGCACAUCGAUUUCCACCCAGAGAUGACCACAGCUUUUCUUUAUCAUUGUAUUUUGUGUCAUUUGUCAUCAAAAUGAGUUACCAUAGGAGAGCACACAGACAUAGUCCCGGUCAGCCUGUUGUUCGAGGUGGCCUCACAGACUGGUGAGGUCACAGUUACCAUCACAUCUGUAUCUGUUUAGACAAACUUUGCUGCGGGUCGUCUAUGUAAAAGCCGGAUGAGGUUUUUCCUUUUGUCUUGUUUUAUGUCCUCAGAGCUUGGCUUAAGUAAUUAAACUUAAGAUAAAAAUGAUUGUCCAUAUCCAAUGUAAAUUCCCCUUCUUGAAAUCCAGCCCCAUCUGCCUGUUUUAACUUCCUUUUUCCCCACAAGAUUUACAAGAUUUGUGACCAGUGAGAAUAUUCUCUCCGGUCUCCACCAUCCACAAGAUGGAAUUACCAGAGGGUACUGUGGUGGCCUGUCAAGUAGAAUGAGGUUCUGAGACACACAGUUACAAGCAGUACUCUCAUUGUCUGGCCUUGCCAGCAAUUGGGAGUUAUAUGUUAUAAGAGGUCCCAGCCCAUAAGGGACCCUUGUCUUCAUAACCUCCAUUAGUGCUAGAAAAGUCUCAUUACAGUAGUGCCUGCCCCAUGUCACAAAUUAGUGGGUCUGUGACUAGAGAUGUCUCACAUUUUUGUGGGAGACCAAAGGUAUUAUUUUCUUUACACCAUCUUAACUGCCUGUGCAAUGAAGGCCUGUGCUGUCUUAGUCUAUUUUGGGAGUAAAAUUUUGGACCAUGGGGGAUGUAUCAUCUAUACCCUCACCCAGGAUGCCUCUUGGGUUCUGGUCUAAGCCUGAAGAAUUGCCUUUAGGUUUUCCCAUAAAAAGCCUUAAUCGUUUGAGUCAUGGUUGAGAUUAGUAAGAUCCUACUCAUCAUUGCCAGACGAUGGAUCCUUUCAAUUGGCUAUAUUUGAAAGAAAAAUAUUAUUUACAGAGAGUUUUCAAUUAUCUUAUUAGGAUGAUGGCUACCCUUUGAAGCUCCUUUGACAAGAUGAAAGAACAGUAAUUAAACUUAAGAUAAAAAUUAUUGUCCAUAUCCAAUGUAAAUUCCCCUUCUUGAAAUCCAGCCCCAUCUGCCUGUUUUAACUUCCUUUUUCCCCACAAGAUUUACACAGAGCACUCCAGCCUAAUUUCUAGGUUCAAUAUAUACAGGUUAAUCAUGUAAAUGCCAAAAGCCAGGAAAUAAACUUAACAGUUUAUUAUUAAACUUAACAGACUGACAGUAAGGCCUACUUUGCUCCUGCUUUUCAGGGCUCCAUAAUUGGACUCUGCCAGCUUCAGGCAUUUCUAUGCAAUAUCCUUUAUAGAUGUAUCCUAGACACUCCCACCUUCACCAUACAUGCGAUAAAAUUUAUGCCCGCUGGACAGCAGCAUAGCCCUUUUACUUCCACUUUCAGAAGUUCCUACCAAAUUUAGAGAGGAAUUAGGAAGAUUAGUGGUCACCCACAACACCCCCACCCCUCACACAAACGGAUGACCAAAAUGUCUCCUAGGAGACAUUUGGCCUAAUAGAGGCCAAGGUUAAAUUGUAUACCUCAGAAAGAGGUUUUUGUAAAAAAUGCUUUGUACAGACUUUUCAAAGGCAUAAGUAUUUUGACUCCCAUUUUAGUUAUAAAUCUCCCUGAUAUAGGAAGCAAGUUCCAUUUUAAAAGGCAGGUCAGUCCCUUGACACCCUAGUACUUUGUGGAAAUUAAAGAAAACCUGCCUUUGUCUUGCAAAUCUCUAAUGUGUUAAAAGACUAUCGCUUGUAAUUCUACUUAUUAUCUUGAAUUAUGUGUCACAGAAGUAACCAAAUUUCCAUCUCAACUGCAUCGUGAAUUCUAAUCAUAUUUUUAACCACUGUCAUUUUUAAAUCUUUUAUCAUUUAUAAACAGCUUUACUUUUAUUCAAUGCUUUCACAAGUGUUGCUACAAAAAUGCUUCAUCUUCAAGGAAACUCAUGAAAAACACUCUAGGAUACAGGUUUCUGAGAACUUUAAGAUCUUUAAGUAAAAAAUCCAGAGUUAAUGGAAAAACUGGAUUCAAACAAAACAAGAAUAAUUCCACGUGAGUGAAUAAACUGAUGAAGAGGAGUAAUAUAAUUUUUAUGACUUUUGGUUAGAAAUAUUGUUGAUUUUUUUUGAGAGAGAGAGAGAGAGAGAGCGCGCGCGCACAUACAUGAGCGGGGGAGAGGUAGAGGGAAAGGGAGAGAGAAUCUUAAGCAACUCCAUGCCCACUGUGGAGCCCAACUGAUAGGUCUAUCCUAUGACUCUGGGAUCAUGACCUGAGCCAAAAUCAAGAGUUGGAUGCUUAACCGACUGAGCCACUCCAGUGCCCCAAAACAUUGCUGAUUUUUAAGAAUGUUUUAUUUCCAGAUUUAAGAAAACUUUUUUCCCUUAAGCUAAUGGGUUUACAGCAAUAAAUUACACAUUUGUAAACAGAUUUGAAACCUUUAUCUUCUCCUUACCUGAUCCCCCCCCCCCACCACCCAGAAUGUGGAAACUCUCUGUUACUUUAUAUUUUCAUGGCAAUAUAUUUAUUUGCAUGAAUUCAAUAAGACUGUUCUCCUUGUAACAGGACACAAUUGGAAACAUGGGCUAUAUCAUCAAGGCUUUGACGGGGAUGUCAUAUUUGAGGGAAACAUGCAUAGACUCAGAUAUGACCAAAUAGCUUUAAGGAACUGAAGUUGACUUAAUGGAGCUAAUAAAGCCCAUUGCAAAUAUCAGCCUGACACCUUGCUUACAGAGUAACCGGCAGCCUUACAAGGUAAGUAAGGAAGAUCACUUCAUUGUAGGUACAAGAACCUCAGGACAUUUUGGGGACAUCAAGAAUAAAGGAAGUAACACAAAUUCAUAGGUAUUGUAGGCAAAGUUUGAUGACAAGUGUUUGGCUAGACUUCUUAGCCUCGAGAGUCUAUUAAAAUUUCAGUCUGAAGAUUCCUUAUGAAUAGUUCCAGCAAAGCAGAUUUAAAAGACCACAAUCAAUUACUAUACUUGCUGUCCUUAUGUAAAGAAGGCCAAUUUUAAUAAAAGCAAACUUAUUUUAUAGACAAGUUAGUCUUAAUUUGGCUAACUUUGAAAAUGAGGGUGACCUCAGAGAGAAAAAUUGUUUCAGUAAUACUUUUGUGGAUAUUAGAUUCCAGUUCUGUUGACUAUCUUUGAGGUUUUGUGUUCUACCUGUAAACCAGACUAGAUUCUGAAUUCUGAUGUCUUGUGACUGGCUACAACUCUCCAAACAAUGUUUCCGAUUUUCUCCCAUCCUUUUGAUUUAGAAUCAUUGAGAAUUAAAACAGACUUCUCUCCCUGAAGCCCUGCAUACUAAAUAUGAAUGACUUGAUAUAAACUUCAGGAAAAUCAGCACAAUAGAUAACAUAAAGGUAAUUUUCAUGCCUGAUGCUCUCUGGGCCAUUCAAAAAACUCAGGAGAGACAUUCAAACUACACACUAGGAAAAUCCCUCAGACUUCCAUCACCUUCCCUCGCUGUAUUUGAAGACGCUUCAAGCCUGACAUCUAUGCAAGUGGUUGCAGACGGCCCCAGCUCCGCACCCCUGGAGUGCCCUGCCUACAUGAGGCUGACAGACUGGGUCAGGCUAAGUGGG
rnacentral:lncRNA from 1 species